rnacentral:lncRNA from 1 species
UCCACACGAGGGUGGAUCGAUCCUCUUCGCUCAACUUGGAGACCUCGACUCCGACCCGAUCGAUCCAGUCGCGCGACGCAAGGCAAGUUACGAAUCUCCCAGUCCUGCUCGCAACAUUGUAGAAUGAGCUGCAAGCUUGUUACCUGCUGGCUGCUUCGUCAACAACUCAUUCUAGCCACAAUGAUUUUGAUUGUAUGACUUGAAAAAUGGGGAUUUGGGAAUAGGACUGCUGCUCCUUUUGCGUUGCGGGAGGUGGGGAGUCAACGGCUUCGUAACGGGAUUCACGUUACGGCGCGUCAUUCAUCCCCAGCUGGGGCGAGCUCCAGCAGGGGCAGCGAGCCGCGUCGUGUGAACGCCGCCCCUGGUGGGAUCAGAUUUUCAAGCCCCCCUUUUCGUAUGUUGUGUGUGGGUGUCUGCAAUAUUGGUAAGAGUUUUUUGCUUCCAUUAAUGUGCAUCCAGCAGAGCAGCAUCCUGUGCUUAGCCGCCAGUUUUAUUCUGACCUAGAAGAAGUUUAGGUGUUCUUCGUUUUAGAUUCAUGCGUUAAUGGCAAUCCGGUGCUUUUCCUGCACGAUGAGCAGGGCAGUAAGUAAGUGUGCCAAAUCAGCAUUAUUUCAAUGCUCUGAUUAUCGGUUCUAUGUUCGGAUCCUUUUUCGGGGAGAAAAAAAAACUAAAUCUGGAAGUUAAUGAUGGGCGGUUUUG